AUUGAACGCUGGCGGCAGGCCUAACACAUGCAAGUCGAGCGGAUGAGAGGAGCUUGCUUCUCGAUUCAGCGGCGGACGGGUGAGUAAUGCCUAGGAAUCUGCCUGGUAGUGGGGGACAACGUUUCGAAAGGAACGCUAAUACCGCAUACGUCCUACGGGAGAAAGCAGGGGACCUUCGGGCCUUGCGCUAUCAGAUGAGCCUAGGUCGGAUUAGCUAGUUGGUGAGGUAAUGGCUCACCAAGGCGACGAUCCGUAACUGGUCUGAGAGGAUGAUCAGUCACACUGGAACUGGGAACCGGGCCAGACUCCUACGGGAGGCAGCAGUGGGGAAUAUUGGACAAUGGGCGAAAGCCUGAUCCAGCCAUGCCGCGUGUGUGAAGAAGGUCUUCGGAUUGUAAAGCACUUUAAGUUGGGAGGAAGGGUUGUAGAUUAAUACUCUGCAAUUUUGACGUUACCGACAGAAUAAGCACCGGCUAACUCUGUGCCAGCCGCCGCCGUAAAAC
rnacentral:rRNA from 1 species